rnacentral:rRNA from 1 species
GAUGAACGCUGGCGGCGUGCCUAAUACAUGCAAGUCGAGCGAACAGAUGAGGAGCUUGCUCCUCUGACGUUAGCGGCGGACGGGUGAGUAACACGUGGAUAACCUACCUAUAAGACUGGGAUAACUUCGGGAAACCGGAGCUAAUACCGGAUAAUAUAUUGAACCGCAUGGUUCAAUAGUGAAAGACGGUUUUGCUGUACCUAUUAGUUGGAUCGGCGCCGAUUUGGUUUGUUGGUAGGGUAACGGCUUACCAAGGCAACGACGCGUAGCCGACCUGAGAGGGUGAUCAGCCACACUGGAACUGAGACACGGUCCAGACUCCUACGGGAGGCAGCAGUAGGGAAUCUUCCGCAAUGGGCGAAAGCCUGACGGAGCAACGCCGCGUGAGUGAUGAAGGUCUUCGGAUCGUAAAACUCUGUUAUUGGGGAAGAAAAAAUGUGUAAGUAACUAUGCACGUCUUGACGGUACCUAAUCAGAAAGCCACGGCUAACUACGUG